rnacentral:rRNA from 1 species
AUUGAACGCUGGCGGCAUGCCUUACACAUGCAAGUCGAACGGCAGCGGACCUUCGGGUGCCGGCGAGUGGCGAACGGGUGAGUAAUAUAUCGGAACGUACCUUUCAGCGGGGGAUAACGUAGCGAAAGUUACGCUAAUACCGCAUAUUCUGUGAGCAGGAAAGCAGGGGAUCGCAAGACCUUGCGCUGAUUGAGCGGCCGAUAUCAGAUUAGCUAGUUGGUGAGGUAAAGGCUCACCAAGGCGACGAUCUGUAGCGGGUCUGAGAGGAUGAUCCGCCACACUGGAACUGAGACACGGUCCAGACUCCUACGGGAGGCAGCAGUGGGGAAUUUUGGACAAUGGGCGCAAGCCUGAUCCAGCCAUGCCGCGUGAGUGAAGAAGGCCU